rnacentral:rRNA from 1 species
UGGAUCCAGACUUUGAUCCUGGCUCAGGACGAACGCUGGCGGCGUGCUUAACACAUGCAAGUCGAACGGGGUGUUUAUUUCGGUAAACACCAAGUGGCGAACGGGUGAGUAACGCGUAAGCAAUCUACCUUCAAGAUGGGGACAACACUUCGAAAGGGGUGCUAAUACCGAAUGAAUGUAAGAGUAUCGCAUGAGACACUUACUAAAGGAGGCCUCUGACAUAAGCUUCCGCUUGAAGAUGAGCUUGCGUCUGAUUAGCUAGUUGGUGAGGGUAAAGGCCCACCAAGGCGACGAUCAGUAGCCGGUCUGAGAGGAUGAACGGCCACAUUGGGACUGAGACACGGCCCAGACUCCUACGGGAGGCAGCAGUGGGGAAUCUUCCGCAAUGGGCGAAAGCCUGACGGAGCAACGCCGCGUGAACGAUGAAGGUCUUAGGAUCGUAAAGUUCUGUUGUUAGGGACGAAGGGUAAGAAUCAUAAUAAGGUUUUUAUUUGACGGUACCUAACGAGGAAGCCACGGCUAACUACGUGCCAGCAGCCGCGGUAAUACGUAGGCGGCAAGCGUUGUCCGGAAUUAUUGGGCGUAAAGGGAGCGCAGGCGGGAAACUAAGCGGAUCUUAAAAGUGCGGGGCUCAACCCCGUGAUGGGGUCCGAACUGGUUUUCUUGAGUGCAGGAGAGGAAAGCGGAAUUCCCAGUGUAGCGGUGAAAUGCGUAGAUAUUGGGAAGAACACCAGUGGCGAAGGCGGCUUUCUGGACUGUAACUGACGCUGAGGCUCGAAAGCUAGGGUAGCGAACGGGAUUAGAUACCCCGGUAGUCCUAGCCGUAAACGAUGGAUACUAGGUGUGGGAGGUAUCGACCCCUUCCGUGCCGGAGUUAACGCAAUAAGUAUCCCGCCUGGGGAGUACGGCCGCAAGGUUGCAACUCAAAGGAAUUGACGGA